rnacentral:ncRNA from 1 species
CCUGAGGGGUGGCUUCGGCCUGAGAUGCCCGCAACGGCGAACCCUUGAACCUGAUCCGGUUAAUACCGGCGUAGGAAUAGGU